rnacentral:rRNA from 2 species
UUGGAGGGCAAGUCUGGUGCCAGCAGCCGCGGUAAUUCCAGCUCCAAUAGCGUAUAUUAAAGUUGUUGCAGUUAAAAAGCUCGUAGUUGAACCUCGGGGUCUACCCAUUGGUCAGGCUUAAUUGUCUGCACUGGUGAGAUGGAUCUCUACCUUCUGAGGAACUUUCAUGCCAUUCAUUUGGUGUGAUGGGAAAUCAGGACUGUUACUUUGAAAAAAUUAGAGUGUUUAAAGCAGACUAUCGUCUGAAUACAUUAGCAUGGAAUAAUGAAAUAGGACGGACUGAUUCUAUUUCGUUGGUUUCUAGGAUCACCGUAAUGAUUAAUAGGGAUAGUUGGGGGCAUUAGUAUUCAAUUGUCAGAGGUGAAAUUCUUGGAUUUAUUGAAGACUAACUACUGCGAAAGCAUUUGCCAAGGAUGUUUUCAUUAAUCAAGAACGAAAGUUAGGGGAUCGAAGACGAUCAGAUACCGUCGUAGUCUUAACCAUAAACUAUGCCGACUAGGGAUCGGACGAAGUUAAUUUUAUAAUGACGCGUUCGGCGCCUUACGGGAAAC